rnacentral:SRP_RNA from 1 species
AGCCGGGGAGAUAGCGGUGCCCUGUACCUGCAAUCCGCUAUAGCAGGGGUGAUGUCCUGCCUAGGCCUGUCUGUGUUGCCGCAGCCCUGUCACUGUGGGUGUUGAGGCUUGGGUCUUGCGCAAUGGGAAUUUGUGAACCGUGUCAGGUCGGGAACGAAGCAGCACUAAGCAAAACCUCUCAUGUGCCGCAAGGGCGCCUGGGCUGAGUCCGCAGGACAGGUAACGGGUGGUGCAGCACGUCG